UCCAAGUUGUGAUUCAUGAGUGGGGUGAAGUCGUAACAAGGUAACCGUAGGGGAACCUGCGGUUGGAUCACCUCCUUACCUUAAAGAAGC
rnacentral:rRNA from 1 species